rnacentral:tRNA from 1 species
CAGAAAAUAGUUUAGUUAAAAUAUUAAUUUUGGAGAUUAAAGAAAAAAUUAAUUGUUUUUUUUUCUGA